rnacentral:rRNA from 1 species
AUUGAACGCUGGCGGCAGGCCUAACACAUGCAAGUCGAGCGAGCGGCGGACGGGUGAGUAAUGUAUGGGGACUGCCCGAUAGAGGGGGAUAACUACUGGAAACGGUAGCUAAUACCGCAUACUAUCGGAUAACCCAUAUGGGAUUAGCUAGUAGGUGAGGUAAUGGCUCACCUAGGCGACGAUCCCUAGCUGGUCUGAGAGGAUGAUCAGCCUCACUGGGACGGGGACACGGCCCAGACGACUACGGAGGCAGCGGUGGAGGAUAUUGCACAAUGGGUGCAAGCCUGAUGCAGCCAUGCCACGUGUAGGAAGGGGGCCCUAGGGUUUUAAAGUACUUUCAGUCGGGAGGCGUUACCGACAGAAGAAGCACCGGCUAACGCCGUGCCAGCAGCGGCGGUAAUAC